UACGAAGGGGGCUAGCGUUGCUCGGAAUCACUGGGCGUAAAGGGUGCGUAGGCGGGUUUUUAAGUCAGGGGUGAAAUCCUGGAGCUCAACUCCAGAACUGCCUUCGAUACUGAGAGUCUCGAGUCCGGGAGAGGUGAGUGGAACUGCGAGUGUAGAGGUGAAAUUCGUAGAUGUUCGCAAGAACACCAGUGGCGAAGGCGGCUCACUGGCCCGGUACUGACGCUGAGGUGCGAAAGCGUGGGGAGCAAACAGG
rnacentral:rRNA from 1 species